AGGGCAGAUGGUGGAUGCCUUGGUAAUACGGAGCCGAUGAAGGACGCAGUAAGCCUGCGAUAGUCUUCGGUGAGGAGCAAACAUCCUGAGACCCGGAGAUAUCCGAAUGGGGAAAUCCCGAUACACCAGAAGUGUAUUAUUCAUGCUUAAAUAAAAUAGAGCAUGAAGGGGAACUAAGUGAACCGAAACAUCCAAGUAACUUAAGGAAAAGAAAGAAAAUUCGAUUCCCUGAGUAGCGGCGAGCGAAAGGGGAACAGCCUAAACCUCUUAAGUGUUAAAGCUUACAGGCCUUGCUUAAGAGGGGUUGUAGGUCUAAAUGUUUCUUAGCUGUAAAUAAGAAGGGAAGUCAAAAAUAAUGCGGAUAGCUGAAUAUCAUGGAAAUGGUAGCCAUAGAAGGUGAAAGCCCUGUAAGCGAAAUCCACAUUACUUCCUAUUUUAGACCUGAGUAUCACGGGACACGUGGAAUCCUGUGAGAAGCUAGGAGGACCAUCUCCUAAGGCUAAAUACUCCGUUGACCGAUAGUGAACAAAGUACCGUGAGGGAAAGGUGAAAAGAACCCCGGGAGGGGAGUGAAAUAGAAUCUGAAACCAUGUUGCCUACAAUCGGUCAGAGCACUAUAUCUAAUGACCCUUAAAAGUUGUUAGAUAGUGUCAUGGCUUGCCUAUUGAAGAAUGAGCCGGGGAGUUUUAUGAAGGAGCAAGGUUAAGAGGUAACCCUCGAAGCCAUAGCGAAAGCGAGUCUGAAUAGGGCGAAUUAGUUUCUUCAUAAAGACCCGAAACCGGGUGAUCUACUUAUGGCCAGGGUGAAGCGAACCUAAGAAUUCGUGGAGGCCCGAACGCAUCGGGGGUGAAAACUCGUGCGAUGAGCUGUGAGUAGGGGAGAAAUUCCAACCGAACCCGGAGAUAGCUGGUUCUCUCCGAAAUGCAUUUAGGUGCAGCUUAAAGAGUUCCUUUCUGGAGGUAGAGCACUGAAAGGGCUAGGAGUCCUACCAGACUACCAAACCCUAUCAAACUCCGAAUGCCAGAAAGUUAAUAUCUUUAAAGUGAGUCUACGGGUAAUAAGAUCCGUGGUCGAAAGGGAAACAACCCAGACCGCCUGCUAAGGUCCCUAAUUGUAAACUAAGUGUAUAUUAAGGAAGUGAGUCUGCCCAGACAGCCAGGAUGUUGGCUCAGAAGCAGCCAUCAUUUAAAGAGUGCGUAACAGCUCACUGGUCGAUGCGGUCUUGCGCCGUAAAUGUUCGGGACUAAGUUUACAACCGAAGCAGCGGGUAGGAAAUAUCAAAAACAAUUUUAGUGUUUCACUUUAAUUACCAAAAUAUUUCCUGCGGUAGGAGAGCGUUCUUGUUUCAGAGAAGGUAUACCGUAAGGAGUGCUGGAGAAACAAGAAGUGAGAAUCCCGGCUUAAGUAGCGAAAAGUAGAGUGAGAAUCUCUGCCACCGAAAGUCUAAGGUUUCCUGGGGAAGGUUCGUCCACCCAGGGUUAGUCGGUCCUAAGUUGAGGCCGAAAGGCGUAGAUGAUGGCUAACGGGUUAAUAUUCCCGUACUAAGUUUUAUCGACAAAGAGGUGAUGGAGGGACGGAGAAGGAUAGGUCAAGCAGGGUUUUGGUUGUCCCUGCCCAAGCAUUAAAGGGUGAUUAAGCAGGCAAAUCCACUUAAUCAUUAGCCCGAUGUGUGAUGGGGAGCCGUAAGGUGAAGUGACUGACUCCAUGCUCCCAAGAAAAUCUUCUAACCAGAUAAAACUUAACCGUACCUCAAUCCAACACAGGUAGACAGGGAGAUAGACUCCUAAGGUGAGCGAAAGAACUCUCGUUAAGGAACUCGGCAAAAAGGCCCCGUAACUUUGGGAGAAGGGGUGCCUAACCAUUACUAAUUAAGCAAUUAGUUAGUAAUGUAGUAGGUUGCAAGAAAUAGGCUCGGGGGACUGUUUAACAAAAACACAGGUUUCUGCUAAGCCGUAAGGCGAUGUAUAGGAGCCGACGCUUGCCCAGUGCUGGAAGGUUACGAGGAGAGGUUAGGGAGGAGCAAUCUUCCCGAAGCUUUGAAUCUAAGCCCCAGUGAACGGCGGCCGUAACUAUAACGGUCCUAAGGUAGCGAAAUACCUUGUCGGGCAAGUUCCGACGCGCAUGAAAAGCGUAACUACCUGAGCGCUGUCUCGACGAGAGAUUCGGUGAAAUAGCAGUUCCCGUGAAGAUGCGGGAUACUUGCGGCAGGACGGUAAGACCCCGUAGAGCUUUACUAUAACUUGGCAUUGAAUUCUGGCAUUUUAUGUACAGGAUAGGUGGGAGACUGGGAAGAAGGAUCGCCAGGUCCUUUGGAGUCGCCCUUGGGAUACCACCCUUAAAAUGUUAGUGUUCUAACGUUUAGCUUUGAAUCAAGCAAAUGGACAGUGUCAGGCGGGUAGUUUGACUGGGGCGGUCGCCUCCUAAAAAGUAACGGAGGCGCACAAAGGUUCCCUCAGCGUGUUUGGAAAUCACGCGUAGAGUGUAAAGGCAUAAGGGAGCUUAACUGCAUAGACUUACAGGUCAAGCAGGUGCGAAAGCAGGUCUUAAUGAUCCGGUGAUACCAUAUGGAAGGGUCAUCGCUCAACGAAUAAAGCUACCUCGGGGAUAACAGGCUUAUCCUUCCCAAGAGUUCACAUCGACGGGAGGGCUUGGCACCUCGAUGUCGGCUCGUCGCAUCCUGGAGCUGAAGCAGGUUCCAAGGGUUGGGCUGUUCGCCCAUUAAAGCGGCACGCGAGCUGGGUUCAGAACGUCGUGAGACAGUUCGGUCCUUAUCCGCCGCAAGCGCAGGAUAUUUGAGAGGGUUCACUCUUAGUACGAGAGGAUCAGAGUGACUGGACCUCCAGUGUACCUGUUAUCACACCAGUGAUACGCGCAGGGUAGCUGUGUCCUAAGGAAUAAGCACUGAAAGCAUCUAAGUGCGAAGUCUCCCUCAAGAUUAGAUAUCCCACUCCAAUAAGGAGGUAAGAUCACUGGUAGACUACCAGUUUGAUAGGCUGGAGCUGUAAGAGCUGAGAGGCUUUAAGGUGACCAGUACUAAUAGAUCGAGGUUUUUUCU
rnacentral:rRNA from 1 species